AUUGAACGCUGGCGGCAGGCUUAACACAUGCAAGUCGAGCGGAGCGAGGGUGCUUGCACCUUAGCUUAGCGGCGGACGGGUGAGUAAUGCUUAGGAAUCUGCCUAUUAGUGGGGGACAACAUUCCGAAAGGAAUGCUAAUACCGCAUACGCCCUAAGGGGGAAAGCAGGGGAUCUUCGGACCUUGCGCUAAUAGAUGAGCCUAAGUCGGAUUAGCUAGUUGGUGGGGUAAAGGCCUACCAAGGCGACGAUCUGUAGCGGGUCUGAGAGGAUGAUCCGGCACACUGGGACUGAGAAACGGCCCAGACUCCUACGGGAGGCAGCAGUGGGGAAUAUUGGACAAUGGGCGGAAGCCUGAUCCAGCCAUGCCGCGUGUGUGAAGAAGGCCUUUUGGUUGUAAAGCACUUUAAGCGAGGAGGAGGCUACUUAGAUUAAUACUCUAGGAUAGUGGACGUUACUCGCAGAAUAAGCACCGGCUAACUCUGUGCCAGCCGCCGCCGUAAGAC
rnacentral:rRNA from 1 species